GCGAUCGCCAUCGCGCAAGCGGGCAGCACGCGUUGGUUUGGCCGAACCUUAAAGCACGCCGAUUCCAAAGCUACUUGUAGUACCCACGCAAAUGUCAACUUUUUGAUUUGUUAUGAUACGAUGUAUGUUUUGAACCUGAGACUGCGGCAACCUUCAACCUUGUCUUAAAUGAUAGUUGUUCCACAAAAACGUAUUUUGAAUGCUAAUAAUCAACUAUAGACUAUAGAUACUAGCUGGUAGGUAGGACAAGGGAAACCUGUAUGAUUUUAUUGAUGGAUGUACUCCCAAACAUGAAAUGGAUUGGGCAAACCCCUUCGUUGAUUUGGCCCUCUUGCCUAUCUGAUUCAGACUCCAUGAUCUUUUUUGUAAAUAAGUAUAUUUUAGCAGUAGCAUAGCGUGCCUUAAAUGGGCGCUGUACCAAAAUUUGUUGGGGGCACUUUCAUCUAAAAAGGUCAUUAGAAAGGGAUCAACGGAAACAUUUUUAUUCAGAAAGAAUUAACCUUCACGCGAAGCCCCUAAGUUGCCUACUGGAAGCAACAGUAGCUUGGAGGCCCCGUAACAUUGACAUGGUAGCUACGUCCCUGAUGCUUAGGUGUGACAUGACAGCAUUUACAUCGCCAGGCUGCCUGUCCAGUGAAGCGGCAGCCAAUAGGAAAGCGCACAGACGGCCGCUCCGUGAGCGGUGUUUCAAACAAUUCCAUAGGUUAAAGAUUUGCCAUCUAUCCUAUCUGCUCCGCUCCAGUAGACAGCCAGACUCUACAGGGUUGUUUGUUGCGAAAUCUUAAACAGAAUUUAUUAAAAGAAUGUUUGGCCAAUACAAUCAGUCUUUCUGACACUUGACUCAUUAAAACCUGCCCGGAAUCCUGUCAAGCUUGGAAAAAAACACUGUAACGAAAUUGAUUAUGUACUAACAUCUAAUGGCAUGUAUUUCUGUGAAAUAAAUGAAUUUGAAUUUGAUAUAACCUGGAGGCCAAGCUCUUCAAUAUUACUACUUACUUAGGCUGGGUUGCACCCUCUUACUUUAACUUUAACAAACGUCAAAAAUCUAUCAAACUCCAUACAAAAACACCGGUCAUCGUUGUAGUUACGGUUAAAGUAGAUGGUUCAACUAAGCCUUAGAUUGUUUUAGUCAUGGUAUGUCGUGUCCAAAUUAAAACAGCGAAACUUAAAAUAACACAAUAUUAAUUAGUGUUUUAAUGGUUUUAUUCCGAAUGAUAUCAGCGUGAUAUUUACAAAUUAUAAGAAAGUCACAAUUUUAAAAUAAUAGAUAAUUCAGUUUUUAUUUUUACCAAUUCUAUGUUCCAUGCUAUGAUACAAUGCGUACUAUAGUAAUUUAUCAAUUCAAAAUCGAUAUUUCACUUAAAGAAAUAAAGGAUAUUGGCUUUUUUGUUUAUUCAUUAAUUAUUUUCUACCAUAAUUAUGGAACAUACAACUGAUGAUUCGAAAAAAAACUGGUGUGUGUUUAUUUAAAACUUCUCCUGUUUAUGAUAGUCGUAUUUACUAAAUAACAAAGCUGCAUACAUUUUAUUGCAAUAUACCAUGGAAUAAAAAGUUAUAUAAACCUUAACAUUUACUUAUAAAAAUAAUUUAUUUAAAUAAGCAUUACAAUAAUAAUUAUUUCACAAAUAUCAACUAUAACUGAGGAUAUACGCUAAUUCAUUUCAUAACGUGUAAAUCGCUCUCGUAAAAUAUUGUUAACAAAGCAUAAUAAGGAAUGAUAGUUUAAAAACCGUGGUCAGAUCUCGUUUAUUCAAGAGUAGGCGCACACCGUUGAUUUUUAGUUGGCCGAUAGUUGUGCCCGAUUUUAAAUUGUAUGAAGAAUCGGCCAAAUCGAAUCGGCGUAGUGUGCGCAAUCCCAUACAUGCCCAUACUGAUCAACUGCCCGACUAAACUAUCGGCCGACGAAAAAUCAACGGUGUGCGCCUACUCAAAAUGUUUACAAUUUAGAUAACAUUCAACUAUACCAGUUUUUCUUCAUUAUCUAAAUCGGCAAACUCUCAAUAAACUGUCUGCAUGAACGUCCUGUUAUAUCGUAAUGUAAGCUAGCAGUGAUAAACUCACUAAUAAGUAGGUAUUUACGACAGAUAAGAUUUCACUCUUAAGCACUAAGUAAAUAAAUAAUAGUUACUAUCGUACAAGGACCGCGGCAGGUUUCAGAGACACUUAAUUAAAAUUAUAUAAUUAAUUACAUCAUAUUACACAGUUGUAAUUUUCAUUUCGGGUGACGUUUCAAGGACCCAAAAUUUUGAAUAAAAAAUAAAGAGAAAAUAAUGGCCUCUUGAAUUUCAAUAACUUGAUGGAUUUUUACAUUAAAUUUAUUAGGUACGUGAAACGUCCCGCGGUCAAGCGCUAUAUACAAUACAACAUAGGGUUAAGCCUCGUCCACAUUAGGGCACAUUUGUUUCGGCAACGUUGCGAUUGCAUGAACAU